AGCGUGGAGACAGGUGGUGCAUGGCUGUCGUCAGCUCGUGUCGUGAGAUGUUGGGUUAAGUCCCGCAACGAGCGCAACCCUCACCCCUUGUUGCCAUCAGGUCAUGCUGGGCACUCUAGGGGAACUGCCCCGGUCAACGGGGAGGAAGGCGGGGAUGACGUCAAGUCAUCAUGCCCCUUACGUCCUGGGCUACACACGUGCUACAAUGGCCGGUACAAAGGGUUGCGAUACCGCAAGGUGGAGCUAAUCCCAUAAAGCCGGUCUCAGUUCGGAUUGGAGUCUGCAACUCGACUCCAUGAAGGAGGAAUCGCUAGUAAUCGCGUAUCAGCACGACGCGGUGAAUACGUUCCCGGGCCUUGUACACACCGCCCGUCACACCACGAAAGCCAGCUGUACUCGAAGUCGCUGAG
rnacentral:rRNA from 1 species